AACUUUGCGCAGAGGCAAUAUCGUAACCAAUGAGGUUAAUCCGAGGUGCGAUUAUUGCUAGUUGAAAACUGCUAAUAAUAGCUUCGGGUUAAUAUAUAGCUUAUGACACGAAUAAUGUGGCUUUCUAUCGGUAAA